AUUGAACGCUGGCGGCAUGCCUUACACAUGCAAGUCGAACGGUAACAGGUCUUCGGAUGCUGACGAGUGGCGAACGGGUGAGUAAUACAUCGGAACGUGCCCGAUCGUGGGGGAUAACGAAGCGAAAGCUUUGCUAAUACCGCAUACGAUCUACGGAUGAAAGCAGGGGACCGCAAGGCCUUGCGCGAACGGAGCGGCCGAUGGCAGAUUAGGUAGUUGGUGGGAUAAAAGCUUACCAAGCCGACGAUCUGUAGCUGGUCUGAGAGGACGACCAGCCACACUGGGACUGAGCCACGGACCAGACUCCUACGGGAGGCAGCAGUGGGGAAUUUUGGACAAUGGGCGAAAGCCUGAUCCAGUCAUGCCGCGUGCAGGAUGAAGGCCUUCGGGUUGUAAACUGCUUUUGUACGGAACGAAAAGACUCUGGUUAAUACCUGGGGUCCAUGACGGUACCGUAAGAAUAAGCACCGGCUAACUACGUG
rnacentral:rRNA from 1 species